GAAUCCUGUACCAAAGAUGGUGAUAGUCCAGUAAUAAAAGAUUUUCUUAGUUUUUUCUAAUUGUCCCGAGUAGCAUGGGGUAUGUGGAAUACCGUGUAAAUCAACGAGGACCACCUCGUAAGACUAAAUACUCCUGAGUGACCGAUAGUGAAGUAGUACCGUCAGGGAAAGGUGAAAAGAACCCCUUUAGGGGAGUGAAAUAGAAUAUGAAACCUUAAGUUAACAAGAUGUAGGAGGGAAAAUUAAACCUGACUGCUUGCCUGUUGAAGAAUGAGCCGGCGACUUAUAAAUUGUGGCUUGAUUAAAGACUAAUAAAUUUUUCUGUAGUCAAAGCGAAAGCGAGUUUGAAUCAAAGCGUAUUAGUCACUGUUUAUAGACUCGAACCCGAGUGAUCUAACCAUGACCAGAGUGAAGCUUAGGUAAAACUGAGUGGAGGCUCGAACUGACCGAUGUUGAAAAAUCGGCAGAUGAGUUGUGGUUAGCGGAGAAAUUCCAAUCGAACUCGGAGCUAGCUAGUUCUCCCCGAAAUGUGUUGAGGCGCAGCGAUGAUUGAAGGAUUGUUGAUAGGGGUAAAGCACUGUUUCGGUGCGGGCUGUGAAAACGGUACCAAAUCGAUGCAAACUCAGAAUACUAUCCAUAUUUUCCAAUCAUUAGUGAGACUGUGGGGGAUAAGCUUCAUUGUCAAGAGGGAAACAACCCAGACCAUCGAUUAAGGCCCCUAAAUGAUUACUCAGUGAAAAAGGAGGUAAUAAUACCGAGACAACCAGAAGGUUUGCUUAGAAGCAGCAAUCCUUAAAAGAGUGCGUAAUAGCUCACUGGUUAAGUGUUGUUGCACCGAAAAUGAAUGGGACUAAGUAAUUCUGCCGAAUUCGUGGG
rnacentral:rRNA from 1 species